rnacentral:misc_RNA from 1 species
CUGCGGAAGGAUCAUUAUAGAAAAUGAAAAUCUCGAAGAGCUGGGGGGGGGAGAGCCUGCGCUUAAUUGCGCGGCUUGAUUUACCCUCCGCCUUUGAUACACACAGUGGAGUUUCUGCUUUUUUGUUCUCUUUGGGGAAGUGCUUUUAAAGGCGUCUGUCCCCAGAGGUAAACACAAACAACAUUUUUAUGAAAUUAUAAAAAGUCAAAAACGAAUUAAAACAAAAUAUUCAAAACUUUCAACAACGGAUCUCUUGGUUCUCGCAUCGAUGAAGAACGCAGCGAACUGCGAUACGUAAUGUGAAUUGCAGAAUUCCGUGAAUCAUCGAAUCUUUGAACGCACAUUGCGCCCCUUGGUAUUCCAGGGGGCAUGCCUGUUUGAGCGUCAUUUCCCUCUCAAACUUUACGUUUGGUAGUGAGCGAUACUCUACUCUGGAGUUUGCUUGAAAAUGGGAGGCCAUAGGCGAAGCAUUGCUUUCCAAUCCUGCGGCCCUCUGCUUACUUCCCCUUGUGGGUUGUGGCAGGGGAAAGCGGGAGGCGCCUUGCCACGAUAGUCGUAUUAGGUUUUACCGACUCGGCGAAAGUGAAGAGGUUUGCUUUUUAAAAAGAAGCAGGCAGCGUCUGGCUUGACAAAAUUCUCAAAGUUGACCUCAAAUCAGGUAGGAUUACCCGCUGAACUUAAGCAUAU